rnacentral:rRNA from 1 species
GUGGGGGAUAUUGCACAAUGGAGGAAACUCUGAUGCAGCAACGCCGCGUGAGGGAAGACGGUUUUCGGAUUGUAAACCUCUGUCCUUGGUGAAGAUAAUGACGGUAGCCAAGGAGGAAGCUCCGGCUAACUACGUGCCAGCAGCCGCGGUAAUACGUAGGGAGCAAGCGUUGUCCGGAUUUACUGGGUGUAAAGGGUGCGUAGGCGGCUUAUCAAGUCAGGCGUGAAAUAUAUGGGCUUAACCCAUAGACUGCGUUUGAAACUGAUGAGCUUGAGUGAAGUAGAGGUAGGCGGAAUUCCCGGUGUAGCGGUGAAAUGCGUAGAGAUCGGGAGGAACACCAGUGGCGAAGGCGGCCUACUGGGCUUUAACUGACGCUGAGGCACGAAAGCAUGGGUAGCAAACAGG